CCGAGUUUACAACUCCCAAACCCCUGUGAACAUACCACUUGUUGCCUCGGCGGAUCAGCCCGCUCCCGGUAAAACGGGACGGCCCGCCGAGGACCCCUAAACUCUGUUUCUAUAUGUAACUUCUGAGUAAAACCAUAAAUAAAUCA
rnacentral:misc_RNA from 1 species